ensembl:lncRNA
GCACCAUGCCGCCGUUGAAGCAUUUUAGUGGGACUUGAGGGGUUGUGGUAUUGGUAGAGGGAAGUAGAGUGGUAUUGGGAGGGGGAAGUAGAGUGGUAUUGGGAGAAGUUGAUGGGGGAGUUGUCGUAUAAGAGACAAUAGCUUCAGAAGUAACUGCUGUACUUGAUGUUGUGUUAGGAGUAGAGAGAGCUGUAGUCCUAGUAAGCGUACUUGAUUGAGGGGUUGUGGUAUUGGUAGGGGAAGUAGAGUGGUAUUGGGAGUAGUUGAUGGAGGAGCUGUCGUAUAAGAGACAAUAGCUUCAGUAGUAACUGCUGUACUUGAUGUUGUGUUAGGAGUAGAGAGAGCUGUAGUCAUAGUAAGCGUACUUGAUUGAGGGGUUGUGGUAUUGGUAGGGGGAAGUAGAGUGGUAUUGGGAGAAGUUGAUGGGGGAGUUGUCGUAUAAGAGACAAUAGCUUCAGAAGUAACUGCUGUACUUGAUGUUGUGUUAGGAGUAGAGAGAGCUGUAGUCAUAGUAAGCGUACUUGAUUGAGGGGUUGUGGCAUUGGUAGGGGGAAGUAGAGUGGUAUUGGGAGGGGGAAGUAGAGUGGUAUUGGGAGAAGUUGAUGGGGGAGUUGUCGUAUAAGAGACAAUAGCUUCAGAAGUAACUGCUGUACUUGAUGUUGUGUUAGGAGUAGAGAGAGCUGUAGUCAUAGUAAGCGUACUUGAUUGAGGGGUUGUGGCAAGGGGAGUAGUUGAUGGAGGAGUUGUAGUAUAAGAGACAAUAGCUUCAGUAGUAACUGCUGUACUUGAUGUUGUGUUAGGAGUAGAGAGAGCUGUAGUCCUAGUAAGCGUACUUGAUUGAGGGGUUGUGGUAUUGGUAGGGGGAAGUAGAGUGGUAUUGGGAGGGGGAAGUAGAGUGGUAUUGGGAGAAGUUGAUGGGGGAGUUGUCGUAUAAGAGACAAUAGCUUCAGAAGUAACUGCUGUACUUGAUGUUGUGUUAGGAGUAGAGAGAGCUGUAGUCAUAGUAAGCGUACUUGAUUGAGGGGUUGUGGUAUUGGUAGGGGGAAGUAGAGUGGUAUUGGGGAGUAGUUGAUGGAGGAGUUGUAGUAUAAGAUACAGUAGCUUCAGUAGUAACUGCUGUACUUGAUGUUGUGGCAGGAGUAGAGAGAGCUGUAGUCAUAGUAAGCGUACUUGAUGGAGGGGUUGUGGCAGGAGUGGUAAAUAAGAAAAGUCUAUCUGGAGUGGAGGAUUGUUCGAACUCAUCCUUGUAUUGGGUAGUUUUGGGCUGUAUUGAAUGGUGCUGUA